AAGUCGUAACAAGGUAACCGUAGGUGAACCUGCGGUUGGAUCAUUAUUGUAUUCUGUUCUCUGCGCGGUCGAGGUUUGCAAAAGCCUCCUGCCAGAGAGUCACACACUUUGUGCACCGAGAUUGUCUUCUGGGCUUGCUUAACCGUGGUUAAGCGUGAAGAGCCCAGCACUUUUAAACCACUUUUAAUUUACUCUGAAUUUUUUAUAAAAAAAAUAACAACUUUUGACAACGGAUCUCUUGGCUCUC
rnacentral:misc_RNA from 1 species